UGAGACUCUAGAGUGUGGGUAGCUAUGAUCCAGUAUUCUGGUAGCUUAGGGGGUGUUCUGUUCACAGUGGGCAAGAUAGUGAGGGAAUUCUCACACUGUAUUGUCUAGCCAGGAUUCCGUUUCCUGGUAGUUAAGAGGUGUUUUGUUCACACUGGGCAGGAUGGCAAAUAGUCCUUAUAUUAUAGUGUCUGAGAGCAGACACCUUCUGAACAUCUAUAGAUAUGCCAUUGCUGGGAUCUAUGAAUACCUUUAGGUCUCUGCUAGAGAUAUGGCUACACCCUGCUACCUCACCAGUUCCUCCUUCAGGAGAUUGUGUGUGUGUGUGUGUGUGUGUGUGUGUGUGUGUGUGUGUGUGUAUCUAGAUUCUGUCCCCUUUACAUUGUCUCCAAGGUAGGGUAACAUUUGCCCAUUAGCUUGGAGUUCCAUAUCCAUCAAACUAAGGGGAACUUCUCAUAAGGAGGGACAAUCUGCAGCCCCUAUCUCCAUUUUUCAGAGGCACUCCUGUCUGGAUCUUCUGAAGUCAGCACCUUGGCCAAGACCAGAGCUGAUGAGGGUAAUGGGUGGGAAACAGUUACCACAGGGCCCUGCGCAGGCAGGAUAAACUCACUGGCUCCUUUUCCUGGUAGGCAGGUCAGAUGUGUCAGAGAGUAGCUGUGAAUGCAGCCCGACAUACAAAGCCACAAACUUAUUCCAGAACACUGGGAGACUUUUCUGUCUGUUUGUUGUGGUUGUUGGUAACUUGAAUGGGCAGUUCUACAGCAUGAACUUUGUAUGUGACAGUGUCAUGUCACAGUGUUAGAGGUUGGACACUCCUGCUAAGGUCCUUCACUUCACCUGCCACCACCGUGACCUUUGCUUACAGGGUCUGCUGCUCAGGGCCAGCGUGCUGGUGCUCCUGGCACUUGAGGUCCCUGGCUUAAUGACUUCUCACUGAAAUGUCAGGAGCUUUAGGAGCAGGAGCAUCUCCUAGCCAGGCUGGGAGCCCUGCUUUAGAGAGGAGCCAUGCAUCCCAGUAUGCCAGCUACAGGAUCCACUUAAUGCCAAAUGGUAGCCAUGGUUCUGCUGGAACGAAGCCGGAACAAAGACCCUAAACACCUCUGCCCCCGUGGAGCUUACAUGAGGAAGAAGGACAAGAAACAAGCAUAACUAGAGGCAGAACUGGAUAUGGCGAAGGAGCAGCUCUGGGCAAGUGAGAUGGGAUGCUGUCAUUUGCAUCCCUUGCUCAGUGCUGUGGUGUAAAUAUUUCCACUGUGGUCUGAUUCCCUCCAUGGCCAACAUUAAGCCCUCAACCGAACAUCAAUCGGCUGCAAACUCUACAAUGGAUUCUCAGCGUUAUAGGCAGCAGGACUGGAGGACUCCAGGUCACAGACGAGGACAGCUGAAGGAGAUCACAUGGGCUAGAAUGAAGCCAACCCUUACCUCACCCCUCAGAACCACUCAUGACUAUCUCAGGAGGUGAAGAAGCUGGGAUAUGCUCCCCUGAUCUCUCCCUCUGGGCUAGAAUGCUGAUGCCAGGGGCUGGAAAUGCAACUAUAAGAAGUUCUCGUGUUGGAUGUA